rnacentral:rRNA from 1 species
UGGGGAAUUUUGGACAAUGGGCGAAAGCCUGAUCCAGCAAUGCCGCGUGUGUGAAGAAGGCCUUCGGGUUGUAAAGCACUUUUGUCCGGAAAGAAAUCCUUGGCUCUAAUACAGUCGGGGGAUGACGGUACCGGAAGAAUAAGCACCGGCUAACUACGUGCCAGCAGCCGCGGUAAUACGUAGGGUGCAAGCGUUAAUCGGAAUUACUGGGCGUAAAGCGUGCGCAGGCGGUUUGCUAAGACCGAUGUGAAAUCCCCGGGCUCAACCUGGGAACUGCAUUGGUGACUGGCAGGCUAGAGUAUGGCAGAGGGGGGUAGAAUUCCACGUGUAGCAGUGAAAUGCGUAGAGAUGUGGAGGAAUACCGAUGGCGAAGGCAGCCCCCUGGGCCAAUACUGACGCUCAUGCACGAAAGCGUGGGGAGCAAACAGGAUUAGUACCCUGGUAGUCCCACGCCCUAAACGAUGUCAACUAGUUGUUGGGGAUUCAUUUCCUUAGUAACGUAGCUAACGCGUGAAGUUGACCGCCUGGGGAGUACGGUCGCAAGAUU